CAAAUUUAAUGGAAUUUUUUUUAUUUACUGGAUGUAUGAAUCGUUUUAAUUAUUCAUUGUUUGUGUAUCUGGUAUGAAUCGAGUACGAAAUUAACGAUCAUAAAAUCGUCGACACAAGAACGUAAAGUCUACCCCCUGCUUUUAUUACUUGCCUAUGAUCAGUUGAAAUGAAGCUUUGUUUUCAUUUUUAGCAUCACCAAUAAGUUAGAAUUGACUACUGUUUACCAACAACAAUUAGUUAAAUAGUUAUUGACUAUAACAUUGAUCCAUACGCACAAUUACUUCGAAAAAAAUUAUUAUUUUGCUCUUCCAACUUAACGAUUUUCUGUACUGCGUUAACAUAUUAUUGUAGGCUUGACACUCAGCUGCGG